CUUUCGGGGGCAAGUGGCGGACGAGGGAGUAACGCGUGAGAAUCUGGCUCUAGGUUCGGGACAACCACUGGAAACGGUGGCUAAUACCGGAUGUGCCGAGAGGUGAAAGGUUAACUGCCUGGAGAUGAGCUCGCGUCUGAUUAGCUAGUUGGUGGUGUAAGGGACUACCAAGGCGACGAUCAGUAGCUGGUCUGAGAGGAUGAUCAGCCACACUGGAACUGAGACACGGUCCAGACUCCUACGGGAGGCAGCAGUGGGGAAUUUUCCGCAAUGGGCGAAAGCCUGACGGAGCAAUACCGCGUGAGGGAGGAAGGCUCUUGGGUUGUAAACCUCUUUUCUCAGGGAAUAAGCAAGUGAAGGUACCUGAGGAAUCAGCAUCGGCUAACUCCGUGCCAGCAGCCGCGGUAAUACGGAGGAUGCAAGCGUUAUCCGGAAUGAUUGGGCGUAAAGCGUCCGUAGGUAGCAGUGUGUGUCUAUUGUUAAAGAGUUUGGCUUAACCAAAUAAAGGCGGUAGAAACUACACAGCUAGAGUGCGUUCGGGGCAGAGGGAAUUCCUGGUGUAGCGGUGAAAUGCGUAGAGAUCAGGAAGAACACCGGUGGCGAAAGCGCUCUGCUAGGCCGCAACUGACACUGAGGGACGAAAGCUAGGGGAGCGAAUGGGAUUAGAUACCCCAGUAGUCCUAGCCGUAAACGAUGGAUACUAGGCGUUGAGAGUAUCGACCCUCUCAGUGCCGUAGCUAACGCGUUAAGUAUCCCGCCUGGGGAGUACGCACGCAAGUGUGAAACUCAAAGGAAUUGACGGGGGCCCGCACAAGCGGUGGAGUAUGUGGUUUAUUUCGAUGCAACGCGAAGAACCUUACCAGGGCUUGACAUGUCUGGAAUCUUGAGGAAACUCAAGAGUGCCUUCGGGAGCCAGAACACAGGUGUUGCAUGGCUGUCGUCAGCUCGUGUCGUGAAGAUGUUGGGUUAAGUCCCGCAACGAGCGCAACCCUCGUACUUAGUUGCCAGCACUUCGGUGGGCACUUCUAAAGAGAACUGCCGUGAACAACCGAGAGUGGGGAUGACGUCAAGUCAGCAUGCCUUUACGUCUGGCUACCCUCGUACUACAUGCUACGACAAGCAAGGAACUGCAAGUAAGCAAUCUCAAACGUACUCAGUCCGAUCCAGCUGCACUCGCCUU
rnacentral:rRNA from 1 species